GGUAAAAUGCCUGAAUAAAGGGUUAUCGUGAUAGGAUAAAUAAUGUAAUUUGAUUACUUUUACUA
rnacentral:tRNA from 1 species